AAAAACGGAAGGAAACUUAACAAGGCUGCCCAGAAUAGGACGCAACACGACCGAAAUCAGCGUAAACUUUCAUCGUGUUCACUACGGUGGAUGUGGAGACAGUGUCGCGGGAUGAACCGUUGUUGCUUCGCCGGAAAAUAUCAAACUGCAGAUGAUAACCCCUUGGAUGCUGGAAUCUUCAUCCAAUCUUGAUCAGUACAUCUGAUCAGAUGGCCAUUUCCGCACUGCUUCCUGUCCCUACUAAGUUCAGAUCCUGUUCCUGGGUGGUGCAAUCAUUAGUGGAUAUGUUCUGAAACAAUGCCAGCUGGCACAUCAGCUUUUGUGGUUUUUGG